CAGUCCUUGGCGAAAAGCCCAUUGAGCUCAUGCCAUUUCUCCUAAUGACCCGAGGUAAGGAUGAGGGGAGCCUGAUCCUGCAGACACGUAGUCACAGGAGUAGCCCUUACUUGGGUCAAAAUCAUGCUUUGUCCUACGUACCCACACAGGGCUGGAUGGGGGGGGGUUGCCAACAGUCCCUUAUUUUUUCAUCUCUGUACAAGAUCAGGAGUUGGUGAGUGCUGCAAAAAGCAGCAAGAAAUUCCCCUGGCAAAAAUUCCCCUGGCAAAGAUAGAUGAAAACUUCCAAGACGCAGAGCUGUGAGAACGUGAGUAAUCUGUGUGGUGCUCCUGGAAAGUGUGCGUGUGUAGGAGGGAGAGAAAUGGAGAACCAUUCCCCCCUACAAAGAGUUCUCUAUACCAAAAAUGGUUUGGAUUUUGAAACGGAAACAAACUUUUUGAUUUCAAAUUAAUUGAAAAUUAGAAACUUCGGUGGAAAAUGUUGAAUGCAACAAAACGUUUAAUUUCUUUUGGUGGGGGGAAGAGGAGAAUGUUUUUAAGGACAAUACCUUUUUUCCAGACUGGUUCUAACUGGGAUUCAUAUCUGGAUGAGCAGGGAAGGUGAUCUACCACGACAGACAACUUUUGCAGAAUGCUGCCAUAGUAUCAUUUGGGAUGCUACUUGAUUUUAAGUCUAUUUGAACAGACAGAAGUUUUUUUACUAUAAUCCAGGGAAAUUAUUUUGCUAAGGAAACUGUCCUGGUUUCAUACAUUCCCUAUGCUUGUCAGUACUAAUAAAAAGGCUAAACAAAGGGAUUCAUCACCAAUGCAAAUAAAAUAUUAACUGCAAAGAAGAGAGAGAAAAUGUAAGAGAUGCAUUUUCAUUAGGUAAUCGGGGAAGACUCUGGCCUCUUUCAGUCUGCAUAUCCUGCAAAGAUCUUACUGUUUAUUUCUCUUAUAUCCUUUAUGUUGGAUAAGAUAUAAUGGAUACUGGAUCUGGAUAGUGGCUUUCCUUCAGUUUCUGAGGCACCUGUCAUGUUGUGUGAUGCCACUUUACAUUUGUUAAAAUAACAUUGCAAGACAUAACAUAAUGCAAUGCAAAAUGAAGCGUUAUAAAUGUGACAUGGCGUGUCUAAAACAAUUCUUGCUUUUAGUGGAUCAGUUAUCCUUUAAAAGCUGGUAUUUAGGAUUGUCCUUAGAUAAUUCAAUAGCUCCACAUCUCUUGUAGGAGCGAUGUCAACCUGAGUUACCAUUUCUGCUUAACAGAGAUGAUGGGAGAAGAUGGCAUGAAAAGGGAUGAAAGGAAAACAGAUUCUGAAUACAUAUCCUGGAGCACUUUUUCAAGCAAGUGAUCAAGGAAAGUUUUUGGGGCCAAGCUCUACAGCCCUGUAAGAAACAGUAACCAUCAGAGAACAGCUGGGCUCUGAGGUAUAGUUUUUGCUGUACUCCUUCUUGCUUUUUAGUUUUCCUUGACUGUUUAACCCACCAUCACUGUGAGUGCGCUGACAUCAUGGAAGAAAAAUGUGUUAAAUUGAUUCUGCCCUAGAGGGAAGGGAAAUGGAUUUAGAGCACAAAUUGUUGCUGAAAUCGGGAGAAUGCAGCUUGGAAUUUCUGUGAACCCAAAGCACGUGACCGUCUUCCUUCCCCCCCCCAGAUUAAAAACAAACAAACACCAAAACAAACUGGAUUGAGGAGAGUUCUUCCUUGGAAUCAGGAGCCAAAAAGACCUUGGAUUUCACAGGAAAUAAUACCUGGGAAGAAAUACCUGCCUGUUCAGCUGACUAAAACAAAUGGCUUCCUCGUAAUGAAAAAUAUUGCGCAAGAAGGAGGACUGAUAUACUCUGAAAAAUGUUAUCAUCCACUCCCGGAGUAUGGUCAGCUGGCUGUGAAGCUCACAAACAAAGGACUCAAUUUUGGAUCCAAACACUUGUCUCCCUAUUAUUUUUUAAAUGCUGAUGAACUAUUUUCUGUUUUCCCUGUAUAUCAUCAUGUCAGCCUACAGUUUCAUGCACUGCAAUGAAACAUACUUUAGCUUGUGUUACCUUAAAUCAGGGGUCGGCAACCUUUCAGAAGUGGUGUGCUGAGUCUUCAUUUAUUCACUCUAAUUUAAGGUUUCGUGUGCCAGUAAUACAUUUUAACCUUUUUA